rnacentral:rRNA from 1 species
UGAGGAACAUGACCUUCGGCGGGGGAUAGCCGGCCCAACGGCCGGGUAAUACCGCGUACGACCACAUGGGGACAUCCCUGAGUGGUGAAAGCAGCAAUGCGCCGAUGGAGUGCCUCGCGGCCUAUCAGCUAGUUGGUGAGGUAACGGCUCACCAAGGCGACGACGGGUAGCCGGUCUGAGAGGAUGGCCAGCCACAUUGGGACUGAGACACGGCCCAGACUCCUAGGAGG